rnacentral:lncRNA from 1 species
AUGCCUGACUUAGGAUGGAAGGAAAGCAGGUGCCAAUGGACAGCUCUGGUACUGGGGAGAGCUGGGUUAAAAUUGAAACUUAAAUACAAUGGUUGCAAAGACCAUAGCAGAGAGAGCAGGCCAGAAGCUCCCCAGCCUCCACAGAAGCAUCCACAGAAGAUAGCAUCAGUUGGACAGGCAACUGUGCCCUUCUCCUUCACCCCAAUUUUAAGUGAUAGCCUUCCAUUACUAAUAUUAGAUGCCUUCUCAAGUUCAGACAAGAAAACUACAUAUAGGAUAGAAUAAUUUGAUUAGAAACUUACUUAAUGACCAUGAACACAUACAACAGAUCUUCAGUAUUUGGAAUUUAAGCACUCAUAGCUUUGCACGUAGACUCUCCGAUGACUAACAAUUUGGAAACUUGUCCAAGCCCAAUUUUGAAUCACAUUGUAGUGUUGGGUUUGCAGACAGGGAGAAUGAUUUUGAAGUGGAUUCUGAGUCAAGAUAUGAGGCUAAAUUGCUUUUUGUUGAGAACAGCUGGGCCAGGCCAUAACAGCAGGGGGGACUGGGAGACAGAGGGGACAGUCAUGUUCCAGGAAGCAGGAUGGCAUUAGAGGCAUCAGAUUGAGAAGUAGAGGCAGAAGAGGAGUUAGGUUAGGAAUCCACUUUAUAAUCUCCAUAGCUUCCACAUUUCAACUCAGUUUUAUUAAUAACAACAGUGAUCACGUUCUAAAUGCUCUGAAUAUUAUGUGAAUUCCUCUUCAUAACAACUCUACGUGUUUGGUAAGAUUGCAAUAUUCAUUUUACACGUGAGAGCAUUUAAGUAAAGAGAAGUUAGUGGCAUUUCCAAGGUAGAGGGAGACUGGCAACAGUCUGACUCUCGAGUCUGAGUUCUUCACCAUUAUUCAUUUAAUUACUUUUUUUCAGUUAUAUUUUAUAGCACCUCAUAGGGCAACGGUGAUGCUACUUGUCAGGUGAGGGAUUUCUGAAUAUAUUCUUCAAUAUUUCAAAUGUCCAGCAUAUUUUACUCUGUUUCUGAACCAGAGGUUCCUCCAGAAACCAACUCUGAAAUCAGGACUAAAGUACACCAGGUAGGGCAGCGGGACCAUGAGACCAUUGAAGGGACAAUGGUCAAUAGACCACUCCUGACUGUACCUGAAUCUCAGCAGAGAAGCCCUGGUGAAGGUGUAAAAUGCAUAUCUCAAAAUUAUUUCCCUGAGGGGCAAGGGAGCCAGGGAAUUUAGACCCUAACUCCUGUUCGUUGUUUGGCUGAGAACUUUAUGUGUGUGGGGAUGGGGUGGGGUUGGAGGUUCUUGGGUCUCUAGUUCUUCAUGCCCUCUAUGGAAUAAACCGGAAGGAGGGUGCCGGGGUACUUGGAAGUGGUAAAGUCCAGAGGACGUAGGUGGGCCAUCCAUAGCUACAGUGUCAUUAUUGGUGAAGUAAAGCACCUUAGCCAUUUAGAAAAUAACAGUCACUAGCUAUUUGCUACUUUUGGAACUAGAUUUCUCAGUUGGUGAAUAAUAAUUAUAAUAAUAUCAGCUGACAUCUUUUGAGCUCUCAAUAGCAUGUGAGCUUUAUUUCUAAGUGCAUUAAAGGUAUUAAUGCAUUUAAUCCUCAUUUCAACACUGUGAAAUAGAUACCAUUAUUAUCUGUAUUUUACAAGGAAUGGUCUAAAUUUACCUAGCUAAUAAACGGUAGAGCAGAGUUGGGAAUCUAGCAGCUGGGCUUCUGAGCCCUACUCUCAACCCACAGCUGUUCUAACAUUUGCACUCUCUUCUCACUGGCCAUUUACUAGAUUUACUUACUCAAGUGCACUUAGGAUGAGAAGAAAGAUGCAAAGAUUCCGAUAAAAUACAUUCCCCUGUCUUUCCGGCAAUUUCCCCCAGGGCCUUGCAACUUGGAAGUAAUCAGACAAUCAUUUGAUCAGGACAUUGCUUUUUUGAAAUAGCAUCAAUUACAGAAUAAUGCAGAUGCCCUUUAAGGGAAAUAUACUACUACUUAGUCUUUUAUUCUACAAAUUAGUUUGAGCACCAAAAAUGGAAGUAUUUGUAAGAAAUAAAAAAGAUAGGGGAUCCCUGGGUGGCGCAGCGGUUUACCGCCUGCCUUUGGCCUGGGGCGCGAUCUUGGAGACCCGGGAUCGAAUCCCACGUCAGGCUCCCGGUGCAUGGAGCCUGCUUCUCCCUCUGCCUAUGUCUCUGCCUCUCUCUCUCUCUCUCUCUCUCUGUGACUAUCAUAAAUAAAUAAAAAUUAAAAAAAAAGAAAUAAAAAAGAUAGAAUGAAUAAACUAUGAUUAUUUCUAUCAUACUCUGUUAAAUAAUGAAAUAGCUAAGGAAAAGCUGAAAUAUUCUAUAAUGCGACCUCAAGGUAAUCAUGUCUGGCUGACUAAAAUAAGUGAUACCUAUUUAAUUUGGCACACAUGGACUCUCAUGUCAUUUUAUUUUUGCUUUUUAAGAAACAAUCAACUUUUAUUUCUUGUUCUCUACACCUAUCCUCUCCAGUAGGAGAGGAUAACCCAGUAUAGAUUCCUUCAUAUUUCUCAUUUCAUCAAAAUCAUGGAUUACAUACAUAAUUAAUUUAUACACACAUGUAUAUACAUGGGAGUUCUUAUUUUCCAUCUUGUUGAUACACAGUAUUGUAUCCAAUUAUUACCUUGUCAAUGGAUAUUCAAAUUAUUUUAAUCCCUUUCCUUACAUUUUUGUUUGCUUUUUUUCUUCAUUGUGUUUGUGUUUGUCUAUUCGCUAUUGAGCAAACUCUACUGAACAAUCACCAGCAAUGUCUGAGUAAAUACUGUGCUAGGUUGAGACCUUUUCUUGUCACUAGCUAUCACCCAAGGUGGGUCCCGUUAUGUUCGCUACCAGUCUUGCUCUAGACUUGAGGACAUUUUCUAUAAUAUCACACAAGAACACUUAUGAAAACUUUUAAAUCAGAGUUCAACAAGAGGAGAAGGCCACAGAUCUUUGAUCCCCAUUAUUUCCCAGAGAGACUCCUGCCAAGACUGGAACAAUUUGCUGACCAUGCACACAGGGUAUAGAUGUUCCAAGAGAGGGCUCUAACUCACUGUUGCAAUCUUGUCAGUGGAUACAUAAAUAUUCUAGUUCUUUCCAGGUAGAUUUUCACUGUGAGAUGUUUACACUCAUUUAGGAAAACCAGCUGCCCAGCACCUGGAGGAUUUGAAUCCAUCUGAAGUUUCUUUUGCCAGUGUUUGAAGGUGGCUACCAGUGCUGUGGGAAGCAGGGCUGAGUGCCCGCACUGUUUCACCAUUAAUCAGAAUGAGCACCCAAAAUCCCUUUUGAACAUUUGCUGUUGUUUUUCGCACCUAUUUUAUUCAUAGCAUCUCAUCCAGCCACAGGUGUUGCUGUUCUUUGAAACUUUUGUCUGUCAGAUGAGCACAAACAUGUUCCAUUAUCUUUUGCUACAUAACAAACUACCCCAAA